UACUGGGAGAAGGCAGAAUUUCCAUUUGAUGUUCUUCCAAAGCUUGCUGCCCUAGGUAUUGCUGGUGGCUCAAUUAAGGGUUAUGGGUGUCCAGGUCACUCCAUUACAGCAAGUGCCAUAACCAUGGCAGAAAUUGCCAGAGUUGAUGCAAGCUUCUCUCUUUUUUUUAUGGUGCAUUGUUCUUCAGCAAUGAAAACUAUCGCACUAGCAGGAUCUGAAACACAGAAGCAGAAAUAUUUACCUUCACUAGCACAAUUAAAAACUAU